rnacentral:rRNA from 1 species
AUUGAACGCUGGCGGCAUGCCUUACACAUGCAAGUCGAACGGUAACGGGCCUUCGGGUGCCGACGAGUGGCGAACGGGCGAGUAAUACAUCGGAACGUGCCCGAUCGUGGGGGAUAACGAGGCGAAAGCUUUGCUAAUACCGCAUACGAUCUACGGAUGAAAGCAGGGGACCGCAAGGCCUUGCGCGGACGGAGCGGCCGAUGGCAGAUUAGGUAGUUGGUGGGAUAAAAGCUUACCAAGCCGACGAUCUGUAGCUGGUCUGAGAGGAUGAUCAGCCACACUGGGACUGAGACACGGCCCAGACUCCUACGGGAGGCAGCAGUGGGGAAUUUUGGGCAAUGGGCGCAAGCCUGAUCCAGCCAUGCCGCGUGCAGGAUGAAGGCCUUCGGGUUGUAAACUGCUUUUGUACGGAACGAAAAGCCUUCUUUUAAUACAGGAGGGUCAUGACGGUACCGUAAGAAUAAGCACCGGCUAACUACGUG